CCUACGGGCGGCUGCAGUGGGGAAUAUUGCACAAUGGGCGCAAGCCUGAUGCAGCCAUGCCGCGUGUGUGAAGAAGGCCUUCGGGUUGUAAAGCACUUUCAGCGGGGAGGAAGGCGGUGAGGUUAAUAACCUCAUCGAUUGACGUUACCCGCAGAAGAAGCACCGGCUAACUCCGUGCCAGCAGCCGCGGUAAUACGGAGGGUGCAAGCGUUUAUCGGAAUUACUGGGCGUAAAGCGCACGCAGGCGGUCUGUCAAGUCAGAUGUGAAAUCCCCGGGCUCAACCUGGGAACUGCAUUCGAAACUGGCAGGCUAGAGUCUUGUAGAGGGGGGUAGAAUUCCAGGUGUAGCGGUGAAAUGCGUAGAGAUCUGGAGGAAUACCGGUGGCGAAGGCGGCCCCCUGGACAAAGACUGACGCUCAGGUGCGAAAGCGUGGGGAGCAAACAGGAUUAGAUACCCCUGUAGUC
rnacentral:rRNA from 1 species